rnacentral:rRNA from 1 species
GUGUACAGUCAUACCACCCUGACUGCACCUGCUCUCAUCUGAUCUCUAAAGCUUGGCAAGGUCGGGCCUGUCUAAUAUAUGGUGGGAAACUGCCUGGGAAUACCAGGUGCUGUAGGCU